rnacentral:tRNA from 1 species
GUUUUAAUAAUUUAAUAAAAAUAUUGGUCUUGUAAACCAAAAAUAAGGAGCAACCUUUUAAAACU